UACAGAGGUCUCAAGCGUUGUUCGGAUUCAUUGGGCGUAAAGGGUGCGUAGGCGGCGCGGUAAGUCGGGUGUGAAAUCUCGGAGCUUAACUCCGAAACUGCAUUCGAUACGGGCAGACUAGAGUGCGGUAGGGGAGACUGGAAUUCCUGGUGUAGCGGUGAAAUGCGCAGAUAUCAGGAGGAACACCGGUGGCGAAGGCGGGUCUCUGGGCCGUAACUGACGCUGAGGAGCGAAAGCGUGGGGAGCAAACAGG
rnacentral:rRNA from 1 species